ensembl:lncRNA
UGGAUUUCUUGUUUUGAUUUUUUUUUAUUCAUUUCUAUUGGACGCCAUCCAAAAAUACUAGAAGAAUGACAUUUAGUCUCUUAGCCACAUUCAAAGGUGUUUAGUGUAAAUUUCUGGGAGUAAGAUCAAUGUCAGAACCAACCAACACAGAUAGUAGCAUUGUGAAUAAGCUGAAAACAUGACACUCGGGGUUUUGAAAAUAUUUUUUCCUGCAACAGAGACAUGUAAUUGCUAUAUGUACAUACUACUCCUUUCUGAUGUCAGUAGCUGUUGCUUUGAGAUGCCAAAAUUUGUCCGCAUUUUCUAGCUGAAAAAUAAAGAAUGGAAACCCAAUGCUGUUUGAUGUGAGUAGGUGCAAUUUGUACUAGAAAAAGCUCGAAGUUAUGAGAUUGGUAGGUAAGGGCCAGGUACUCAUGUUCAGAUGCUCAGCUCCAUGCUAAACAAAAGCUUCAAGUUUUCAAAAAAACAAAACAAAACAAACAACAACAAACCAACAAAAAAGAAAAAAAAAACAGUCUUAUCUAUUUAGGCUAACUCCUAAAAACAAAAUUUUAAACAGCAAAUUUCAGCUUAUUCUUCAAUAUAUGAGAAUUGCUCUGAAGGUAAUGACUCCUAUCUUAUGAUGUUGGCCCACAAUGGAAAAAAAAAAAAAAAAAAAAAAAAGGCAUCCACUGACAUUUGCUGAUGCUUACUGAAUGUUUAUGGUGGCCAAACAAUGGUGGUGCGGUGGUGCAUUUUAGCAGUGGCAACAGCAACAUGAAAGAUAAGCCACGUUCCAGUUACAUGGAUUUUCACAAGCACAGCAUCCAGACUCUUGUUCAUUACUGGCAAAAAUGCAUAGCUUACAGCGGUAUCUAUUUUGAGAAAUAGUGUUUUAUAGCUGAGAAUUUUCUCUACUGAAUAGUUUUACUGUGCUCUUUGUAUCUGUUGUAGUUUCCAUGGAAAUAAAUAGGAGGCAUUACUUGUGGAGUGUCCUACGUACAUACACCAUUUAAAUUAGAAAUACAGAAAAAAAAACCAACAGGUAAUUCAGUUUCAGGAUAACCACACUUUGCCAGUGUGGUUAUUACAAUUCAGAAAUAAUUGUGCUUGCUUUUGUCUGCCCCUUCACCCCUUUCAGCUGUGUCUUCUAUGACCACUCAAUUUGAAAAUGCUACAUUCUGGUACAUUAUCUGAGGAACAAAAAUACUUUAUCUGGGCUUACUGCUUUUAUUCAACACCCAGAACAAUCUAUGUCUAUUCCUUUAAGCUCCUUGGGAUGUGAAAAAAUAUGGUUACAUAAAUCUUUGUAAUCCUGAGGGGAGGAUAGCAUAUAAAGAGUUUACUGGCGUUAGGAUUAAGUCUAGUGUAUUACAAUGCAAUCUUUAAUCUGCUAAAAUCUACCUUGGUGUUGCAAGCUGUUUUGUGCUUGUAGAUGAAGUUUUGGAAAUAGGACACAGCUGGCAACACUGAUAGAACACCUUAAAAAAGGAAGAAAAGAAAGAAAAAAGACAAAAUCGGUGAAUCUACUAAUGAACAGAUUUGCCACUGCUCCUUGUACAGUGGGCUCUUAUGAGUCUAAAAAAUGACAGAUGAUGGAGGAAAUCCUUGUAACUGAAACUAGGAAGAAACAGUCACUAAAGUUGAAAACACCGCCAUAGUCACCACAGAAAAUCACAAAUGUGAAGCAAAACCCAUGUAACAUUGCCGUGCAAGCUGCAAGAGUCUUACUUGGUUUUGAGAUUCAUCAAUCCAAAUGAAUGUAACAAAUGAGUCUUAGGUACCUAAGAAAAAUGAAAAAUUCCUCAUGCUGAAAGAGACUUUGUUCUCUUUUGAUAAAUCUGUAUGAAAUGAUAACAUUGCUGCAGUCAUGUGCUACUUCAGAGAAAAAAAAUGGGGAAAAUGGCUAUUUUUAGGCAUUUUUCUAAAGAACACCACAGUUCUACUAUUUGAACUUGUCUAUUCCCAGUCAAACAUUUUCCUGUCAAGCUACACAUUACUUCUUCUGAGUUUAAAGAUUCAAAACCAAUGUAGAUCAGCAAUUAAUGCAUAGGCCUAACUGGGAGAGAGGCUGGGGCACAGGUUUCUAGCUCUGCAGCCUUGGCUAAAGCAUUUUUUGGGCACAGCUAUGUGCUCAGGAAAGAAAACAAAAUAUAAAGAUUUGCUUAAGAGCUACUGUGACCUAUGACAGUUAAAUAUCAGAUUAAAUGAAAAUCUAAUUAGGGCCUUAGGUAUUAAAUACAGUUGACCAAGGGAAGCCAAUUGAUGUUGUCUAUUUUGGACCUGCGUAAAGCUUCAGAUACUCUUUCUCUCAGUAUCCUUCUGGUCAAAAUGUCCAGCACACAGCUAGACAAAAAAACAUAAAGCAAUGGAUGAGCAACUGGCUGAUGGUAUGGGUUGAAGAGUUAUGUAUAAUAAGCUACAGUAAAUGGGUUUACAUCAGGCUAGCCAGCCACUAGUGGGGUUCCUCAGGGCUCCAUUAUAGGGCCACUUCGCUUUAAUGUUUCCAUAAAUGACUUGGAUGUAGGACUAGAAGGUGUUUUGAGCAAGUUUGCUGGUGACACUAAAUUGAGAGGAGCUGCUCACUCCAUCACAGGUGGCAAGGCCUUGCAGAGAGGUCUAGACAAAUGAGAGAGCUGUGCAGCCACCAACUGCAUGAAGAGCAAGUGCCAGAUUCUGCACUUGGGAAGGGGCAAACCUGGCUAUACAUACAAACUGGGGGAUGAGAUGGUGAAGAGCAGACCAGCUGAAAUCUGUUCUGGUCAUGGUUGACAGCAAGUUUAGCAUCAGUCAGCAGUGUGCCCAGGUGGACAGGAAGGCCAAUUGUAUCCUGGGAUGCAUCAAGCAUGGUCAAGGGAAUGGAUUGCCCCACUCUACAUGGCCCUGGUGCAGCCUCACCUUGAAUACUGGGUGCAGUUUGAGGCACUACACCACAAAAAGGACAUAAAACUAAUAAAAAGUACCCAAAGGAGGGCUAAAAAUAUGGUGACAAGUCUAGAUGGGAAGAGAUAUGAGGAGCAGCUGAAGUCCCCCGGUUUGUUCAGCCCAGAGUAGAGAAUGAGGAGAAACCUCAUUGCAGCCUAUUGCUUCCUCACAAGGGGGAAUGGAAGAGCAGGUGCUAAUCUCUGCUCUCUGGUGACAGGAACAGGACCAGAGGGAGUAGCACGGAGCUACAUCAGGGAAAGGUCAGAUUGAUUGUCAAGAAAAUGUUCUUCAACAAGAGGUUAACAGGCACUGGAAAAGGCUCCCCAUGGAAGUGUAAUGACAUUGAGUUUGCCAGAGUUCAGUAAGCAUCUGGAAAAUGCUCUCAGUCCUAUGAUCUGAUUUUUGGGUAGUCCUCUGUGAAUCCAGGGGUUGGACUCAAUGAUCAUUAUGGGUCUCUUCCAACUUGGGAUAUUCUGUGAUUCUAUACUGUAUCUGAAAAAAAGAGAGUUCAUGUGGGCCUUUUCCAUAGCUGAGAGCCCUAUAGGAACCUCACAUAGUGCAUCAAAAAAUAAAUAAUUAAGGUUUUCCCUUAAGCUCUUAAGUGAUAUUCAAAUUCUGAAACUGAAAACUACUGUUUCGAACAAUUCAAAGUCUGAACAAAUUAUUAGACAUCAGCAUAAAAUUCUGUACUUUCCUGGAAUGCUGCCAGGGUGUUGAGUUUUUUUUUUACUUUUCGUUUUGUUUAAUGGAGAUGCAUAUUUUUCUACAGCUAGGGUUGUUCCAUCUGCCCUUGUCAAGCUUUAAAUAUACUAGAGCUCGUUAGAGCUAAAUAUAAGCCUUAAUACACAGACUUAUGUUUAUCUUAUAAAAUUAUGCAAAUUAUCCUGCACAUAAACUGAUAUUGAUCAGUAUUUCUGUUAGAUAAGUUAAGCUUUAAGCAAAAUAGUUCCAGUCUUAGAAGGAAGCCUUAGCAGAAAGGAGUCAUGAGACUUCAGAAUCUACAAGAUUGUAAAGUAGUAGCUUUUCCUUCUUAUUUACUAGUUUGCAUUUCCAAAGCACUACACAAUCGUGAACAAAUUAAUCUAAGGCAUUACAGUGAAUUUUACAGAUAAGGACAUUAAAAGCCUUUAGUAAAUGUUUAAUUGAAAUAACUGCCAUACGUUAAUUCCAAGAAACUUGUUUCAGUAUCAGAAAGAUUUAGCAAACAUCUAGUGAGAGUGAACUCAAUAUGCCCCAGUGCAGAGAAUCUCACGUGCACUACCCUUCUCCCUCAGCUAGAAAGAACUGCUUUGAAAUGACAUCUUAAGAGUAAAUGAGGAGCACACUAAGAAUGGAAAGAAAUUAAUAAUACACAAGCCUAUGGAAUAGACAGAGCAUGUGCAGAAACCAUAUUCUUUAUGGCUGCCCCUUAGGCAACAGCACAGCUUUGCAUGGAGAAAAAGCUUUCACUUGGUCCUCACAGUAGUUCUGAAUCUAACUUCCAAAUCAAAGGAUUUGUACUCCUUUAAGCAAGAGUGACUGUCACCCCCUCCAGAAUGGUAAGUUAAUUCUAAUCACUCAGUAAAAUCUGGCAGAGGAUAGCCUGUGGUGAACUCAAAGGUUUUCUCACAGAACUGUGUUUUAAUGUAAAGCAUCACCGCUUCUGCAUUCUGUCAUCUGCCAAUGGGAAUCCAAUUGCUUCAGGAUCCCUACUAAACACCACUGUCAUAAAAUAAACUUUUAUAUUAAACUUCUGUUCCUGUGCAGUCAUUUUUGAACAAAGUGUCUGGCAUUUAACCAAUUGGUCUUUUCCUGGGUAAAGGUCAUAGAGAAAGAAGGAGGAUGUGAUCCUUCACAUCCAAUUAUCCACAUCUCGAGACAUGUUAUACUGGAAGAUUUUUGCCACAUCUCAUCUAUUAGGAUAACCCUUUCCCUAGCACAAUACCAAACUGUUGUGUUUCUGGAACUGAUAUCCAAUAGUGAUUUCAGUAGAAAAGAGUGGAUGGAAAAAAAAUUAAAUCUACUAGGAAAAAUAGGUCUUCACAUUUCACAAUAACAUGCAUAUUGCUUAUUAGCAGGCAUUUAGGUCAUAUAUGCACAGAGAGUCUAGCAGUCCAGCCGUGUGACUAUCCAGCCAGAAGCACACCAUCAGUUGGGUGGGCAGACCCAAGAACGCUUGCACAUCCUCUGUCAGCCUGGUUUGUUUCCAUAGAUGACUUUUUAAGAAAUGUCUCUUAACUGAUACUUUUGGCUUCCUAUGCAUGACAAGGUUAUGUUUGAUAAGUGCAUAAAUACACUAUGGUAUUUUAGAUUUCUUGCUUACCCAGUUUUGGGGGACAAAAGAUCUCUGAGUAAAAAAGAAUCUGGGAUAUUUUGAGAAUAUUCUCCAAGGGGGAGAAAAAGGAAGGCAGGUGGCAGAGUGAGAGCUAGGAAGGAGAGAGCAGAAGGGUGAAUAAUAUUAUAUUACUAAUGAAUGAUGGCCUGCUGGUGUGAACUUGAAGUGUUUUAAGAUCCACCCCAUCAAAGCUGAGAUUACCUGAAAAAUAUUUUCCUGAAUCUCUAAAAUAUUCUCAAAGUUUUGUAUUUGCCUCUCAUUCUUCAGGGUAACAUCCUCAAUUUUGGAUUAAAAGUAAAGUAUUUAAUCCUGGAACUGUUGUUUAUUCAGGCAACAAGCUGAAUUUCAUUCUUAUAUUGGUUCUUCUUAAAUAAACAUAGAUGUAUACCUGGAAUACUGAAGAUAUAUCUUGCAAAACAAUGAAUGAUAAUAAACAAUGAUAUGCUAUGAUGAUAAACAGUGAAACUGCUUAGAUAGUAAAUAGGUGGCAUUCCUAAAAGAAGUAAAGCUAGACAUGGACCAGCUUUUGCUUCUUCCUAUAUAUCUGCCCUUAAUAUUUGUGGACUUUUUGUUAUAAGUGAAUUUAAUGAGUGUCAUUCUGCACAUUUACUAAGUAAGGCAACAGGCACUGUGCAUAUUGGUCUGUGCUCAGAUAAAAUUUCAGUUAAAAUAUAUAUAUGAAUAACCAAAUAUACUCACUACAAGAGCACAUUAAAAAAUGGAAAACAAAAAAACACUCUGUUGAAUACUGUCUGGCUCUGUUUUGUGAAGGCCUUCCCAAAUCCUCUCCUAUCUUCACAAAAUCAGGAUAGUAUAUUCUCUUAUGUCUUAGCAAAAUAAAAAUGAUACCUGGCAUUUCAUCUGCUUAGUUGGCUCUGCUGUUAAGGGAUUUAAUUCCUCUCAGCAGAUAUACAAAUGAGAACAUUUGUCUUAGUCCUAGAGACAGAAUCAUUUAUGUUACACUGCUUUGCAUUAUGUUAAUAAUUUCUAUCCUAAGUGAAGUCACAGGAAGUGUUUGUCACUAUCUCCAAUGGGACUCAAAUUUAUUUGAUGUAUGUUUAGUAUAUAUAAAGUUCAGUCAUUUCACUAGAGUUCUUAUAUUCAUAAUGGAUAACAUUUUUCUCCAAUGCUUUUUUGAAAGGAGGAAAAAAAUUGCAUGCAUGCAUAUUCAUAAAAUACUACCACAGAAGAAUUAGAAUUGUGUACAAUUUGAAAGAGUGCUGAAUUACAGGUGGGGUUAAAACAACUUCACAUUAGUGAAAUAUCGUAUGGUGGCUUUCAUUAUUGAUUCUCUGUCAACAUCACGUUAGUUCUUUUCUAAAUCAGUUCUGUGGCUUGAACUUGAAAAGACCAUGAUGCGGAGUCCACAGGUUCAUUCUAAUUGCUCCUUUUCCUGGUAGACUCCACUGUGCCAGCCUGUCACUCAUCAAGACCAUUUGUCUGUGAACAGACUUAAUUAAGCACCUCAAAUCCAAUUUCUUUGAUCUUUUACACUAUUAAGGAAACACACUCAGUCCAUCAGCUAUGGAGAGUUUUCUAAAGAAAAACCUCCUGAAAACACCCACUGGUGUUAUUCUCCUCUGUUGAAAUAGAAAGUUCAAAAACAAGCAGGUGAAUUAGGAAGGGAAAAUAAAAUAAUUGGAGAGACAACAAAAAAAUUGUUAAAUCCUAAAUAUUCAGAAGAUUUAAGGAGUGAUUUACAGCACUUAUCAACUCUUGCACUUUUUUUCUCUCUCAAGAGAGAAAAAUAUCCAGUAGAGACUUGAUUUAAAUAUAAAUGUUUAGUUACCCUCCUUUCAGAAUUUAGCAGGCAAUUGCAUUUGUUUUUGUGAAAGAGGUAUGCACUUUCAGCAUCCUUUCUCACUGCUCAAAUAUCCAGCACAUUGAUAGAAAUGGUCAGGUGGAAACACUUUAAAAAUAAAUAACCAGAGUUUCAUGAAAAUAAUUCAAGAGCUGCUUUUGGGCUUUUUUAUUAACAUUCUUGCCAUUUACACUGUAUUGACUUAAUUAUUUUCAGAUAAUAUUUACCUGUGUCUACUCUUAUAAUUGCAUCUUAUGCAAAACUGUUUGCAUUCAUAAAAAGAUCUUAUCUCGCAGCUUUGUGACAGAGAUUAUUCUGCACUCAAUGGCUACUCACUGCACCAUCAACCAGAAACCAAAUUCAUAAUAUAGAUUGUUGUGAGUAAUAACUUUUAAGGAUUUUUUAAUAAUUAAUUUAUUAAUAAUGAUUUCAUUCCACACUGGGAAAUAAGUUAUUUGUAUUUUAGAAAAUACUGCUGCUAAAGGUGUUUUUCUGAAAGAAGAUCACUAGCUAUAGUUCAUUCUAUUGUUGUCAGGUAUUUUUCAUGCCUUGUUAGCUAAUUUCCUCUUCUUACUGUCAGUUAAAUAUUUUCCAGAAUUUCAUGGUUAUGGAAUGGAGAUCAGACUUCUGCAGCCAUAUCUGAAGAGCAGCUCCUGUGUGACAAACACUUAACUGGUUAAAGAGUGUUUUACAACUCUACGUAAGGCUGAAUUAACCAGAUAAAUAUUCAGGCCUAAACAUGGUCAUGGUACAAAGUUGAUUUGAAACAGAUAAAAAUUGCUAAUUCGAGCUUUGUGAAAACUUUACACAUAUAUUUGUAUAUAAAAUAUUUAGUUCUCUCUUUAGUUUGAGACUAUUUCUUCUAUUAACAAUUCAUUAUGGUCUAUGUAACAACAUACGUAAAUGAAGUAGAAAUGUCUUCAGUGACUACUGGGAUUGCUCAGUCUGGAGAAGAGGCUCAGAGGAGACCUUAUUGCUCUCUAUAGCUACCUGAAGGGAGGAUGUCGUGAGCUGGAGGUCGGCCUCUUCUCUCAUGUAACUAGUGAUAGGACUAGAGGGAAUGGCCUCAAGUUACUCCAGGGAAGAGUCUGGCGGGACAUUAGGAAAUACUACUUUUCUGAAAGAGUCAUCAGGUGCUGGAAUGGGCUGCCACCCAGAGAGAUGGCGGAGUCACCAGCCCCGGAGGUGUUCAAGGAAUGUUUAGACGCUGUGUUGAGGGACAUAGUUUAGUGAGAACUAUUGGUGAUAGGUGGACAGUUGGACUGGAUGAUCUUGUAGGUCUUUUCCAAUCUUAGCGAUUCUAUGAUUCCAUACUUCAUUGUAUACUACGAUUAUAACUAUCCUCAGACAAAAAAAAAUUAUGUGGCAAAUGUAGUACAUUUCCUAUGUUCCUUUUAGAAGCACUUUUUUGUCCUUCAGAAAACAAAAAUCAGAUUUAUUUUAGAGUUUACUUUUCUUAAAUUCCUAUCAGAUAAGACAGAUAUUUAUGCUAGAAAGUAGUAUAGAGUUUAUUUAAUUACUUUUCCAGUUUCUAUUCUCUAUUCUAUUUCAGUUCUCUCUCAGAAUAUAAGGUACAUUUGGAAGUUUGAAGAACUGUAGGACAAAACUUAUGAUGAAAGCUGAAAACUGGCAUUAGAUUUUAUUAAAUAAAUCAUCACUGCAAGAAGGUAGAAAUAAUCCUGAGCAAUGCUGUAAAUUCCACGUAGUCUCAAUUUGUUCUCACUUCAUUUUGCAGUAGUAUUCACAUGUGCUAGCUCAUAAGAGUUGAUAUCACUGUUAGUUAUUGCUGUGCUUUCUUCUAAUUACCACCAAAUUGUGACCACAGCAAACUACAUAUGUUUUUUAAAAUAUCACUCUUUUAGUUCUUCAUCCUUGAUGCAAACAUGAUGAGAAAUGUAUCUAUGCUUAUUAGGUGUCUUACAGCAAGGCAAAGUUACCCAUAUUAAGUCUCAGGAGAUAGGACUUUCUUCUGACCCAGAUAUUUACAAAACUGGAAGUCAAAGUACAGCAACAUGAGCAAUUGGACAAGUCAUCAGUAAGAGCUAAUGAGAAACUGUGUAAAAUGACAUAAUUCUAUUGGAUACUGAGAUGGUAUCAUUAGUAUGUAUUAAAAGACUCAGAGAGGGUUAAAUUAAGAAAUGAUGUGCCACUUUUCAUUAUCCCAAGGAAGUCCUGUAUACAGUAUAUCAUUAGAAACUAUUUACUGAAGCAAAAUAUCAAGCACACAUUGUGUAUCUCUUGAAUCAAGAUGUCAUAAAUAAAUAUUUUCAAGACAAAAUAAGCAAACUUGCACUUCAGUAGGCCAUGAAUCUGACCUCUUUAUCAUGUACUUCAAAAUAAAAUCACUGACUUCUUUUUUUUAACAGCCUUUGCUCACCAUCCACUAGAAUUUUCUGACAAAAAUCCCCACAAGGGCUCUGAGUUAAGGCGGGCUGAGCUAGCUGACACAACCAACUCUGAUUUCCAUUCAGUAUUCAGCUAGUUCCAGUCACCAAAGGGUCUUAAAUUAAGGUAACAUGAGAUAAGAGGGAAGAUCCUCACUGGGAUAACUAACUAAGAGAUUGGAAACAAAGAGCUUCAAUAAAUGGUCAAUUUUCUCAGUGAAUAGAAGGCACCAGUGGUAUCCCACAGGGAUCUUCACUGGGGCCAAAGCUGCUCGACAUGCUCGGGGCUGAUCAGGAGAACAGAAUGGAGAGCAGAUUAAGUUUGCUGUUGCUACCAAGUUUUCAUGGUAAGAAAAACAGAAACUGACUGCUAAAAAGAGAGUUGAAGAAAGACUCUGUGGCACUGAGUGAUUGGGGAUAAAAUGGCAGACGACAUUCAGACUACACAAAUGUAAAGUAAUGAACUUGGCAAAAAACAGCUCAUGCUGUGCCCAGUGAUUGAUUCUGAAUUCACUGCUACAUCAGACAAAAUAACAGCCUUAUGAAAAUAUCAGUUCAGUAGCUCAGGAAUCAUUAUCAGAGGAAAAUCUCAGAAAAUGUAAUGUUUUUGUGCAAAGUCAAUGCUAUGAUCAUAUCUUGAUUGUUAUGUAUAAUUCUGGUCCUUUCAUCUAGAAAAAGCACAGAGUAGAAUUUGAAAAAAAGGUGGACAAAGAUGAUCAAAGGUAACCAAAUAACUCACACAGAAGGGUGAUCUGUAAGAGCUGGGGCUCUCAAUCUAGAAAAGAGCCAACACAGAAGCACGUAAAAAUCACAGCAGACAAAUAGGAGAAUAAGGGAUAAACGAGCUGCCUCUUGCAUUGCAACAGGAAAGCCUCAGCUGGAAAUGAGCAUGUGGAAGUUCAACAUCAAAAACCAGACUGUGCACAGCUCAGUCAAACCUCUCUAAGCCUUGGCCAGUGAACAUCACUGAGUUGUGAAGAUUAUUCAUUUUAAAGAUCAAAGUGAACAAUUGCUUGAAGAAGCUCCAACUAAGUCCAUUAACAUUCCUUUUCCUGGGAAUCUCUUUUUGUACAAAGCUCAAAAUCCAGCCAAAAUCAUCAUGCAUUCAAGUGAUCAAUGAAUGAGCACUACAUACGGCAAUGAGGCAAUGAAGUUUAUAUUCAUUUCAUGAUCAUUUGCCACUUGAUUACAUGGAGUUAACUCACAGAGGAACUGCCUUUCCAAAGUUUCCCAGUCAAACUUGUAAUGAAUACUCCCCUCAUUUUGACUGAACUAUUUUGCUUUUUAAGAUGUAACUGUAGAUUUACAUCAGUGAGAGAAGAAGUGUCCAUAAAUAACCCAAAGGAGGACUUCUGAUUCAGGAAAUGGGAAGUAAAAUUCAGGAAGUGAUACCUUUUCCUCAUUGCUGCCGUAUAGACUUGAGGAAAACUCUAGCAUUACAACAGAGUUCCAAAGGGCAAAGAAGACUUGACCACAGGACUGCUUGAUUAUAGCAGAGAACACAUGCAGUAUGAGCUUUGGACAAGUAAGAGAUACUGCUUAUGCAUCUGCUGCCCAGAAAAAUUUACAGCACAAAUGUUGUAUGAAUCAGUGUGAUAGCUGCUGUCAGCUACAAAUAUCAUCUACAUAUUACGCACCUACCACAUGCAAAAUACUCCCACAAUGAUCUUAUUAAAGAGGCUGUGCCAUACAUCAAAAUAAUGUUAUACCUACAGCAGCCUGUAGGUUCUAAAAUAUGCCCUUCCUGCUUAUUUUGUACACAGCGAAAAAUGACACACUUGUGAGUAAACUUGCUCAUUAAUUCUGACAGAUAAUUCUGAAUACACAGUUGAAACCUCAACUUAAGUAUCUGAAAGAUGUAGAAAUAGAAGUGUUCCAAAUGUUAGUGAAAAAGAAGGAGUAAGAGGUAGAGGAACAGAGAUGACAACAUAAUUAUUUGAGCUGUGCAGAAUUUUAGAUGGGUAAUAAUUAACUGAGUGGUGAAUGGCUCAGAUAAGAGAGAGAAAAAUCUCACAACCUUUUUUUGAGUAGUGUCUGAAAAUAUCUGGAUCCAAAACAGAAGACUGUUUUGCAACAAUCACUCCUGAGUUUCCCUCUUCCACCAGCUUUUCCCAUCUACCUCAUUGUCUAAAAAGCAAAAGAUACUCUGGACACAACCAUGUAAGAACUGAGGAAUAGUCUGUGCUCAUUCACAGCCUUAAGGAGAUCAGUGUUCAUUGAGAUGGGAGGAAAAGAGAAUCUCCAGAGUUUUGUCUCAAAAAGGCCCAACAAACUGCAGAGCUGUGUGUCUGUGGCUGAGGUCCAGCCAGCCUCAGUGCCUCCGAGCAGCACAGGUGGGAGUUCCUCCACAUUUGAAGCUGUGGUCCCAUGUGCAAUGGCCCAGCUUCCCAGCAGGGCUGCUGCCCUUGGAACACCAACCAGCAGUAGGAGAAGCCUCACUGCCUCUCCAUUCCUUACUCAGAGCUAAGGAUGUCCAAGUCUGAGGCUGAAAGGGGGAAGCAGCAGUCCCAGUCCUGCCAAGCAUGAAGAUACAGGGCCCAGAAGAGAUGUCAGCACAACGCAUUGUCAAGGAGAUGAGUUUUAUCUUGCAUGUCAGAAACCAGCUGUGAUUACUCCAGGUGCUGUGAUCUGACAGAAUCAAAGCAUUUCCUAGAACAGCUUUGUGCCAUGAGCUGAAGCUGCUUCUCAGGAAUCAAGUAGAUUCUCCUCCUCCACUGUCCCUUUGCUAUAUAAAACCUGCGCAUAAUCCACUCUUUCCCAUAUUUUUCAUGCAAAGCCAUUUACAUUAUUUGUUGAAAGGCCAGGCAAACACAUACAGCAUGCAAUUCAGUACAGUAAAUGUGAAAACAUUUGCCAUUAAUUAUUGUAACCCCCAAUAAUUGUGAUCCCCGUGCGAAAAGGUAAAGAUAAACCAUUACCUACAAAGAAUAUUUCAUUUUCUAUGUAAGGAGGUGGCAGUGGAAGCUUGCUAGCAAUAAGUAGCCAGGACAGUAAUCUGAAAGUUUAUAUAUGUAGCUAGUGCUCCAGCCAGCAGAUAAUGCAGGCAAUUAGUGCUACUGUUAAUGUGCCUGCAUGCCUCAUUUCUGGAGAUGCAUGCUGAGCGCUCUCCUCUUAAGGUGGCUUCAGCAAGUGGUCCCUAUUUAACAGACACAGCUGUAUGCAAGGAAAGCAGAUCUUUCAGGAGGACAAGCCACAGUUUUAACUUGUUCUUGGUGUCAGAGCAGCAAUUGCAGUGAAAUGGAAGGAAAAAAACUAAACAAGUAUACAUCUACUAUAGACAGAUGGCUAAUAAAAAUUUGGGGAGCUCUUUCAAUACAGAAAUUGAGUAGUUUAAAAAGACACCUACAUAACAAAUGCUUGGACAUGUUGUCUCCUUUUAUAGAACACAAACAUUUGCCCUUUAACUCAGCAGCUCAACUAUUUGUUCCUUUGCUACUUAUUCUAUGCAAAGCUUCAAAACAGGCAUACAGCCAAUAUUUAACCUUUACUAUAUAACGUAAUGAACCCACCCAAACAAUAGGUGCAGCAAAUAUUAACAACUAAAGUGCCAUACUCAACUACAGCAAUGAAUUUUUAUGGUGAAGAUCCUGGAUUUCUGCCCUAUCGUGCCAGGUGUAGAGUAGUCCCUAUGAAUUAGCAGGUUGCAAUAACCCGUAAAUACGCAUCUCAGCCUGCUGAGGUUUAUGCACGCCUGCAAACAUCUGCUUUUGUUUUGUACUUCCAUCUGAAGACAAGAACAAAUAUUUCUAUUUCCUCUCAAAUGUUGACAGGUGAAUCAGUGUUUCAACAUUAAAGUAGGUCAGCCCACGUUGCAUUAUUCAGUGUAGCAGCAUGACACUUCUCAAUGAUAAAAUAUUGUCUAAUACUAAUUUGAAGUGAUACAAGCAUAUAUCUGCUUUCUGCAGAAGAAAAGUUGCUUUAAUUUGAAAUUGUCCCUCCUCCGUCUGGAAGGAAAACGUGAAGGAUUACAAAUCAAUUCUUAUUGCCUGCCUAUCCUCCUCAUCCUAGUCUAUAGCUGUGCAAGCCCACAAUUUGAGGACAAGCAAAUGUCUGCUCUGAGGAAGUACAAGUGACAGCUGAUGUACAGGGGUAGCAGCAGCUCCAAAAAAAGAAUUAAAGCUACCUCACAUGCAACAAACUUCUGGGAAUCUCCCCCAACCAUUUACAGAGUCACAAUCACAGCAUUUUCUAUUCCCUAAAGUGAUUUCUCUCCCCUCUCACAUUCUUUUCUGCAUAAUCUAGGGAAUUAUUCAUGAAUUAGGAAAAUCACUGUUUGUACACAAUUUCAAACUUUAUAUUAUGGCAUAGCCAGUCUAAAAUGUCACUUGUUGUUGCACUGUAGAAAAUAGACUCAAUAUGUGUUCAUUUAUCUUUAUGUUCAAGUAGAUACAUGAGGGCUGCUCUGAAAGCAUUGCAUUCCAUUUUAUGCUGUUUGCCCAUAAUAUCAGGGGCAGAUAUUGGUGGGAUGGGAGUAGAGGCUAAACCUUUCCACCAAUAUUCCAUUACAUUGUGUUGCUAUGUGACAGAUGGCAGCAGAGGGGCAAUCUGACAGAAUGGUGUCUGAUAUGGAAGAGCAUAUGGAUUAAAGGGGUGAUCAGGAGUGAAUGCCCCCCUGCAGAUAAAAUGGCACCCAAUGACAUUCGCCGAUGCUUACUGGAUGGUUAUUGGGACCAAAUAGUGAACGUGAACAAAGUGAGGCAGUGGGUGGUGUGUUUCUGCAGUGAUGACACCAAUGUGAAAGACAAACCACGUUCCAUGCACAGCUGUCACACCAUGAAAUGAAGAGCAUUUCAGUCAGCUCACCCACAUAAAUUUGUGGAUUAUGAUGAUGGAACUGUGUAUGGAGCUGAAUAUCAGCUCCAAUACGUUGGAAACUAUAGUGGAAACAUUGGAAUAUCGCAAAGUUUACACCAGGUGGGUCCUCCAAAUGCUCACAGAGGAUUAGAAAGAACACUGUAUGCAAGUUUGUCAAAACCUAUUGAACCAAUAUGAAGUAAAGGUUACAGUUUCCUGGAUCACAUCAUUACUGGUGAUGAGACCUGGUAUCAGCAUUACAAGCCAGAGUCAAAACAGCACGCCCACAGAGUGGUGACAUGUGACUUCACCAUCAAAGAAAAACUGCAGGAUGCAGCCCCUCAGUACAUAAAUUGAUGUGCACUGUUUUUGGGGAUAAGAAAGAGAUGAUCCUUCUGGAUUUCCUGGAAUUCAGACAAACCACCAACUCCAGCCACUAUGUUCUGAUGCUGACUAAGCUGAAGGCUCAAACUUCCAGAGGUAGGCCAGAGAACAAGACAAUCUUUCUUUCACAACAAGGUAAUGCCAGGCCCCAUUCCAGUUUGAACAACAUGGAGCACAUUGCCAAUCUUGGCUGGACCUACCACACCUACCAUAUUUGGUGCCUUCUAAAUUCCAUCUGUUUGGGCCAAUGAAAGGUGGACUGUGUGGGCAACAUUUUUCUAGCAGUGACACCAUCAUAGCAGCUGUGAAACAGUGGGUCACCUUCACUGGUCCAGAUUUCUACGUAUGUGGCAUGCAGGUUCUUGUUCAUCACUGGUGAAAAUGCAAAGCUAAUGGUAGUGACUGUUGAAAAAUAGUGCUUUGUAGCUGAGAAUUUGCUCUAUCAAAUAGUCAUUGUGUUCUUCAUAUCAGUUGUAGUUUCCAUGGAAAUAAAUAGGAAACAUUAUUUUUGGAGCAACCUAUGCACUAAAAAAAUAUACCUGAAAAUAUCCUUCAAAAUGAAACAGCCUAUGAUCAUAGUUGCAGCUGAUGAGAUGGAAGAAAAAUCCUAGAACCUGUUACUGUAAUAUUAGCAGAGAUAGUAGAUGUGGAUUUAUCCAAGGGUAGAGAUGUAAAAGUUAAGUCUUUCUCUAACAGUAAUGCCUCCUCCCCAUUAGCAGUAUACUCCUCUACAUCGGUUUUAUUUGCUUCUGGCCCUUACCAGAUACAACAGCAGACACUUCAGCUCUUCUCCAACACACAUCAUAAAACCUCUAAAAAGAUGAAGGGAUAAGAACUGGAUGGAGAGAAGGGGGCUAUGCUAAACAUACAACACUGGUUAACUCCCCAUAGAAAUCCAUGCUGAUGUAAACUGAUGUUAUUCUAUAAAAAUUAAAAUAACUGUUUACAGCAAGAUCUGUUUCUGAUUUUUAAAGCUUUUCAGAUUAACAAGAAAAACUCA